rnacentral:rRNA from 1 species
UACAGAGACCUCAAGCGUUAUCCGGAAUCAUUGGGCGUAAAGCGUGCCGAUAGGUGGUUGAAAUAGUUUUGGGUAAAAGCCAGAAGCUUAACUUCUGCGUUUGCUCAAAAUACUUUUCGACUUUGAGGGACAAAGAGGUGGCUGGAACGAGCGGUGUAGUAGUGAAAUGCGUUGAUAUCGCUCGGAACACCGAAAGCGAAGGCAGGCCACUGGGUGUCACCUGACACUGCUAGGACGAAAGCGUGGGGAGCGAAUGGG